UGCCUAGCUGUUGGGUGUACAGAUGUUUGUCAAGUUUCUGAAGAUACGUCGACGUGUUAUCAUCCACGCAAGCUUCCCCAACCCAACCAGUGUACCACAAGACAACAGGUAGGACAGGAGGACAAGAGGAGGGAGUGAGCGGCUGCAUGCACUAUUGAACGGGACAGCAUUACAUUCUUCCCACAGUUGUAUGACAACACUGAAGCAAGCCCAGAAUAAAGUGUUGAGUGACCAUGAUGAAUCAGCACUACUAACGCCAAAGAAGUGAGGGAAGUGUUUGGAGUGAGCGUGCAAGACGUACAACAGACAACAGACUGCUACUGCCGGUGUAGCCAAAGGAACAAGAGGAGGCAGAGGAGGAGGAGGAAGAAGAUGAGGAACAAGAGAGUGAUUCUUGGAGACGUACCAAUGAAGUUCUGCAGGAUUCAGUACUACUAACGAGAAAGAAGUGAGGCAAGUUUUUG
rnacentral:lncRNA from 1 species